rnacentral:rRNA from 1 species
AUUGAACGCUGGCGGCAGGCCUAACCCAUGCAAGUCGAACGAGUGGCGGACGGGUGAGUAAUGUCUGGGAAACUGCCUGAUGGAGGGGGCUAACUACUGGAAACGGUAGCUAAUACCGCAUACCAUCAGAUGUGCCCAGAUGGGAGUAGCUUGUUGGUGGGGGAACGGCUCAACAAGGCGACGAGCCCGAGCUGGUCGGAGAGGCUGACCGGCCACACGGGAACUUAUCCACGGUCCAGACUCCUCCGUGGGGUAGCAGUGUGGAAUAUUGCACAAUGGGCGAAAGCCUGAGUCAGCCAUGCCGCGUGUAUGAAGAAGGCCGUCGGGUUGUAAAGUACUUUCAGCGGGGAGGCGUUACCCGCAGAAGAAGCACCGGCUAACUCCGUGCCAGCAGCCGCGGUAAUAC